rnacentral:misc_RNA from 1 species
GUGAAUCAUCAAAUUUUUGAACGCAUAUUGCACUCUCUGGUAUUCCGGAGAGUAUGCCUAUUUGAGGGUCAUUUGAAAUAAUAUAAAUUUCGAUGUUUACUAGGAAUCAAAAAUGGGGAGGUCCAGCUUUUGUGUGGUGGUCGCCUAAAAUGCAAGACAAGCUCAUUUCUUGAGGUGGGUAAUACUUUCA